UAAAAUGUUGACUACUCCCCUAUCCAUGGUGUUUCUGGAACAGCAGCAGUGAAGAUGUAGUGUAUAGUCUUAAAAAAAGAACCUAAAAUGGUCCUUUAUAACCAUGCAAUAAAACAGCAGUGGACCCAUUUGUGGUGGUACAAUUAACCAUCUACAAGAAAUUCUUCAUCCUAGAGAAUAAGCUUUUCAACAGGCAAAUAACCAUUUGAGCAGUAAUCAGAAACAUUUUAAGCAUCUAAAUGGUUAAUUGAGUUGUCUUGGCUUUUUACAGGAUCUUUGCUGUUAUUAAGGACCCCUUUUAGUUCCCUAAACAAAUUUUCAAAAUAUUUAUUUUUAGUAAACAUAAUGUGUGGCUGUAAAUAACCUUUCUUUUUGUAAGUUUAAAUAAGCUCUACAUAAAGAAAAAAGUCCUAUACCAAUUAAAGUAUAGAUCAUUUUUAUAAUACCAUCUUUCCAAGGUAAGUACUAUUUAGGUAACUUUAUUCUGUGACUGUAUAAUGAAAGAAUGCUUCUCGGACACAAUACUCCAAUGUAUUCAAUUCUAGAACCACAGAAAGGAGAGCGACUGCAUGUGAUCAAGAUGUUUUUAAUCUUUACAGAGAAGAAGGACAGAAAGCAAAUGAUCUGAAUUCAGUCAUGCUUCAGUGGGGACUUUUUUAGAGAGCAGGAAGAAAGAGCGUGAAGUUAUAAUAAGAGUGUGUUCAAUAUUAUACCACCUCCUCCAUCACUGAAAGUAACAGAUAAGGGUGCAGAUAUGCGACCUUCUUGAUGUUUCAGACUGCUCAACGGAAGUUAUAGUUUAAUGUUGUUGUCCUGUUGUUUGCCAGACAGCUCUGUGUAUGUGUGUGUGAGUGUGUGUGUGUAUGUGUGUCUGUUUGAGUGUGUGGAUAAGAAAGUUUUGCGGUGUGGUAACAGAUAUCUUCGUUGACAGUCAGUAGGUGCAGUACAGUUAACCUGGUGAUGGUGAAAAGACGCCUUCAGACACUAUUUGCAGAUGUGAGUGUGUGUAUGUGUGUAUGUGUGUGUGUGUCAGAGAGAGAGGGAAAGAGAAAAAACCAAGAGACUGUGUAUAGAGAGGAAAGAGAGUAGUAGUGCUAAACAUGAAAACAAAAAAAAGCUCAAGAGGAGAAGGGUGGGACUACGCACUGCGAAACCGUUAAACAGACAAAAUGACAUGGCUCAGCUCAAAGGCAUAUCGAGACGAAAGUAAGCUCAGGCAUGCUAGCUGAGUUAAAUCCUGGGGUGCUUUUUCAGCAGACACAAAGGUUACAGGGGGGAACAGGAAACCAGCACGUUCCUAUUUCCUGUCAACAGCAGCCUUGAGAGAUGUUAGGAGGGAAGUGCAGGAGUUUUCGGGAGGAGAAAAGGAUUGCAUGGGGAGACGGUGGUGACCAUUCUGG